CGUGCUACAACACGCAGCUCCUUCCAACGUCUUAGCAUCAGUGGGACACACAGACAGCGAGUCCCCGUGAAGGGCAACCGCAGACCGGGCCGAGAAUCAGUUGACCCUUCCUCAGCCAGUCACAAAUGCCUCCAUCUGUAAAAUGACAGUGAGAAAUGCUUAAUCUUCCAAGAUGAAUCUAACAGAUGCUUCUCCCAGGAAAUGAACUAAAGGUUGCAGCUUUGCUUGAGCGAUUGUGAGUCAGCUGGUAUACCAAAAGAAAAUGACAGCACAAAACCCAGCCAAGCUCCUUGGAAAUGUAAAUAGACCGGAACCACUGGUGUCCUCUUAACACAGCAUCAAUCACUGCUGGGUUCUGGAAGUGGCAGCACGUUUGUUAUGGUCCAGGCAACCAUCACAGGCAGCAGAUGGAGAAGGUUUAAGACCUAGUAGCAGUGUUUUGGAGGUAUGCAUGAUUCUCUGCAGAAAAUGGAGCACAGAUGGGGUCUGCUUUGACCUGCUCACUCAGUAACUGCAAAAUACUUGUGUUUUCAGACCAACUCGGUAUUUAUCUUGAGGCUCUGUGGCAUGGUUUGGAAACCCUGCACGUACUCCCUACUCAUGCUGGUCUCUGUUGGCCAUUAGCUGAGCUUCCUGUGGAUUUACGGUGAAGUAGUAGACAGUAAACCAGGGCAGGUCCUUAGCUUCUGGUGCGGUCUUCUCAAGAAAAAUUAACCCAUUUACUUUCUCCAAGCAGACUGUGUUUUCAAAAAUAGUAGUCUCUGGAGUCAGUUGCUGCAAGUGAACCGUUGCAGCUGGUGCUAAGUGCCAUAUUCAUCAGCCACAAGAACAGAAUCAGAUCCGUCCAUAUUGGGGGGAUUCCCAUGCCACAGAGACUUCUCCUGGAAGACAGGGGGACCUUAGAAAGCAUGGGGGGCCCGUGCUGGAAUGGUGGUGCUGUGAGAUGCUUUGACCUAGGAGAUAAGUGCAGAUGUGAUUUCUUGGGUGUGCCAUCUUUGUGGAGAACAAGCAACGGUCACUCUCCAGUGGAGGGACCUACACCUGGCCUGUUUCAGAGGCCUGCCUCUUGAGGAGCUGUCUCUUACAACCUCUUCUUUCUCACUGACUAUCAAGGGAGCCCAGGAGAACAAACCAAAGAAGUGUCUGUGUUACAGGUGUCUGAAGUGAUGCAAGAUAAAUCCCACCUGUAGAGACCUUGUCAUGUGUCCAAGCCUGGUGAGCUUCCUGUGCCUUCAGCUAUAACUAUGUAAGAACAAAGUGAGUUGCUCCUUUCAUUUCUCCUUGUGUACUCAGAGGCUUCAGCAAGGUCUCUGAUGGAUCUGUAGCUGAAAGAUGUGUUCAACAGAAACUAUUAACCCAGUUAACACAUUAAUUCAGUAGUUCCUUUCAGUAGCAUAUUACCAGCCUACAUAGACCUUGGGGCAGAACAUCUUUCCUCCUUCUUGUUGUCCUUUGAGUCCUGAUCGUGCUGUCCAUAUGGACAGCCCUGGUAAGUAUUUCCCAGGACACACUGAGAUCUGUAAUUUGGAUUUCUCUUGGCCAGGUCUACAUGACAGAUACCUGAUUGGAUUGCUCUGUUGGGUAGAUAAUACGUGAUCCUGAUGGACAGAGGAGGCCAGAAGACGACUGUUUUGAAGGUAAUGUUGCAGCUGUAGUUAUACCAGCAACACUGCUUUCAGAGCUUGUUUUAUUUGAGUAGCUCUAGGGAUGAAUUUUGGGCUGUGCUCAGAAGGAUAACACAUUGUUAUAUUAUCCUGAGCACCUCAUGUAGGAGCAUGCCAAUUCUUGGAUGUCCUUGUGGGAUGUUUGUUUCUCAGCCAAUUUCUGUUUCAAAGCUUGCUUUUUCCAAGAACACCAGGUGUUUAUGCGAGUCACUGCUUUUCAGGUUACUGUCUCUUUCAUGCCAUGGAGCAGCGAGGGGUAUGUGAUGCAGCUGCCCAGAGGAACUGCUGAGAAUUCGUAGUCACUGAGGCUAGUACAUACUAGAGGUGAUUAAUAGCUGUGCUGGUGGUAAUACAACUGAAGGAUCAAUCCAGCCUGUGUGGAACCACAGCUUAGAGCAGUGAAAGAUUUCUUGCCAGUGUAGGAGGGUAUUUGCACCACCUCUGUCUUUUAAGAUGGUUAUCAUAUGUUGCCUCCAGGGAGGGUGGUUGGAAGUCAGAGCCCAGCUUGGGAGCUGUUAUACAUCCUUUUCUCCUCCUUUAACUACAGGUGGAGCUGAGGGGCUACUUUCUGACUUAGGGGAUAGCUAGACAAGUCUGGCCACCUGAAAUGUCAUAGAUUUCCUUUUCCCCUGAGUAUGUCCUCCUGCUUCUCUCCAUCUCCUUGAAUGAAACCAUUGUCUGGGGAGCUGAUUCCACUUAAAACAAAACUUUUUUUUCUUUUUCCCUCCCCUCCAGUGAUAUUACUUCCGUGAUCCCACUCCCUGCCUGAUCCCAUAAACUUCAGGGUUGAUGCAAUGAAAAUGGUGGGCAGGACUAGAUGUCUCAGGGCAGCCGCCACCAUUGUCAAAAGAAGUCAUGAGUUGGGCCAGGCCUUAAAUCCAAAAAUGUUACGAGAUACGACAGGUUGGGAUGGAUGGAGGGGAAGAUGCUGCCUCAACCAUUGCCCUGAAAAUGAGGAAGGAUCAUAGUGAAAAAGCAGGGUAUACUUGCAGGAUCCUCAACUCAGUGCUUAGCCAAGGAUAGCAAUUGCUCUACACCAGCAUAUGGCAUCACAUUAAAAGCGGGCUGUUGUGAGCCCUGUGAGGUUCUGGCAUGUCUUAUGCAGCUUUACAACCUACCUACCAUCAAUAGCAUGGUCACAAUGGGUGAAUGCUUCUUCUGCAAGGAUUAAUAAGCUCUGUCUUAACUAAGAAACAAUCUCAGUUAAAAUUUAGAGGAGAUGAGGGCAUUCCCCACUCCAUGUUCUGCAAGAUGGUCCCCAGGGAGGCAUGCCUUCAGUGUCCUUCCUAUGGCUCCUGUGUGGGGGAAUCUGGCCCCUCUGGCAGGCAUCCAGCAAUAUGGGAGAGGCUGUUUGCUUCCAUCUGGCCUACUUUCAUGCAAAAUCCAGUGACAGUUUAGAAAAACAAGGCAUGUCCUUUGUAAUAGAUAAUUUGAUUCCAUGAGCAGAGCAGAGGAGGGAAGUUACAGCUAUGUUCAGGACUCUGUGCCUG